UAGGGGCGGCGGCCGCCGUGACCUUCUACGCCGUCAGCUUUGCCGAGCUGCGUGAAAAAUCAUUCAAGGAUUUGGAGGACUUGGACUCUGAAGUUAAUGGCGGAGGUUUCAGAUCCUCUGCAAGUUCCAGAGAGGUAAGGGCCAGAAGAAAAGCUGAGAAAGAAGCUAAGAGAAGAAGUUAGUUCUGUUAAUUAACUUCCCUUUUGUUUUCUUUUCUUUUUUUGUUUUUUAUUUUAAUUUCAUGUUGUAGUUAUGCUGUUCUGAAUGUUGGUUUAUAUUGAAGGGAAAGUAGAAUAUUUUGUUCU